GAUGAACGCUGGCGGCGUGCUUAAUACAUGCAAGUCGAGCGAACAGUUGCGGAGCUUGCUCCUCUGACGUUAGCGGCGGACGGGUGAGAAACACGAGGAUAACCUCCCUAUAAGAAUGGGAUAACUUCGGGAAACCGGAGCUAAUACCGGAUAAUAUACUGAUCCGCAUGGUUCAAUAGUGAAAGACGGUUUUGCUGUCACUUAUAGAUGGAUCCGCGCCGCAUUAGCUAGUUGGUACGGUAACGGCUUACCAAGGCAACGAUGCGUAGCCGACCUGAGAGGGUGGUCGGCCACACUGGAACUGAGACACGGUCCAGACCCCUACGGAAAGCAGCAGUAGGCGGUCUUCCGCAGUACACGCAAGCCUAACCGAGCACCGCCGCGUGGGUGAUGCAGGGCUUCGGCUCGGGAAACUCUCUUGUCUGAGGGGAACAAAUGUGUAGGUACCUACUCACGUCUUGACGGUAACUACUCAAGAAGCCACGGCUAACUACGUG
rnacentral:rRNA from 1 species